ensembl:lncRNA
CGUGUUUGACCGAGUGGAGAGAGUUUGAGAUCCCCACUUUGCAGAGCGCAUGUGGACUGCCAGCCUGUCCGGGACUGAGCGCACGAUGAAGACGAGCGACAGGAGGACAGUUUCCUUUUCUGAUCUGUAAGAUGAGAGCCCCGGCGCUGAGGCCGAAGAGUUCAGGAGGAUUUGUAAAGGGAAGAUUAACAGUUCACGAAGGAGAAAUGUCCACAACUGCAACUCCAACCAUCCCCUCCUUCCAGCUGACAUCUGAUCAACUCACAGUGGUCGCUGCGUCCUUUUCCUCUCUGGUGUUCUUCGUGGUUAUCGUGGUGCUGCUGUCCAUCAUCUACCGCAAGGAUCCUCAGUGCUGCAGACUGUUUUCCUAUCAGGGGCCACAUGCAGAUAUGUACAAACCAGUGAGGGGAAAAUGACCUUUGACAUCACCUUUUCUUGGUGCCAUCUCUGUGUGUCUGUGAAACGUAAUGAGGGUUAUGGCAAAGGUCGACAGAUCGCGUCACUUUGAUGGGUGCUCCCUCUCAGUACUACAGCAGCAGGCAGACGCUGGUGCCAUCUCCUUUUCUCGAGCAGACACAGAUCACUGAUGACAGCAGCACUCAGGCAGGUCAGCUGUUCUACGUCGGCCUGCCCUCCAGCUACAGCCUGCCUGUGCUGGAAGGCCCCCUGCCGAGGCUCCCCUCCUAUGAGAGCGUCCGAAAGAAGGACCGCCAGAGGCAGAUCCACAUGAUGAUCGCAGACCGUUUUGGUCUCAAUGGACCCAUUGUGACUGAGCCUCCUCCAACAUACGAAGAGAGCAUCCGUCAGUCGGUGGAGCUGCCGUACGACAUCCUCUCAUCCAGCCUGGACGUCCCCUCUGCUCAGAGUUUCUACACCAACACUAGAGCCGUCGUUCAGACUGACACAGCGCCUCCAGCUAACUUUGAGGCCGCCGACAACACCGUCCUACCCAUGUGACGCCGAUCAAGCCAUCAAACUUUCUGGUGAAUGUGAAGCAGAAUUGCGAUAUUUAACGUAACGCAGAUGCAGUUACUAAAUCGACUGGAUCCUUAACACUUGUGUACAAGAUGAUUCUGAUACCUCAAAACUGACAGAGCUAAUGUUGAUCAUGAGCUGGAAGGCAACCAUACGAGGAGCCGCACACCCUGCAGGGAAGGACACGUUUGAAUGUUAAAAAUACUUUGUGACAUUUACUGUGCUCUACCGUGCCCGUGAGUUUGAAAACAGAAACACUGAAUACUCAUAAAACUAAGGUGGCUGGCACAUCUCGAACAGGAGAGGGCAGAACUGAAACAUACCAAAAAAAGGGAACGACUAUUUACUUUGUUGGUUACAGUGACGUGUAUUAAAUUCUGUUAAUGGACUUAUGUUUUCACAGUUAGCUCUUCUCAUUUAUUCUAAUGUCCCCGAACUGGAAACCUCAUUGUGUGGUUUUUAAAGAGGUCUGUUUGUUUAGUAGCUGCCGCAAAGCGGGCUUCUUUACCCCGCUGAGGCGAUGCAACGCUGCUCUAGCUUGAGAGGGAGAAUAAAAAAGGUGCUAAUGAGAGUGCCUUUCAUGGAAUCGAAACUAGACAUUCAUUACAAAACCUUUGUCUUUACCCCAUCUUUUGAUUUUUUUCUAUUUACACACCAGAUUUUAUGUCUUAAUGUUCUGUGCGUUAUUUUCUCUUACUUUCCAUGUGCACGAGUCGUAUGUUUGCCCUGCAUAUGUCUCGUACUGUAUUUAUUGAAGAAAGAUAACUGACAUCUUGUUAUUUCUCUGUGGAAACAAAUGUAAUAAAUACUUUUAUUGCUUUGUUCGUGAAUGUUUUUCAUUACACAGCCGCAGUUUAUGUAUGUGGACCACAUCCAAACCACUCACAGUGAGGUAAGAUUUUAUAUGCGCGUUUCUGAGUGCAUGUUGUUUUGAAAACAAAGGAC